rnacentral:rRNA from 1 species
UACGUAGGGAGCAAGCGUUGUCCGGAAUCAUUGGGCGUAAAGCGCGCGUAGGUGGCUUCGUAAGUCCGUUGUGAAAGUCAAAGGCUCAACCUUUGAAAGCCGAUGGAUACUGCGGAGCUAGAGUACGGAAGAGGCGAGUGGAAUUCCUGGUGUAGCGGUGGAAUGCGCAGAUAUCAGGAGGAACACCACUAGCGAAGGCAGCUCGCUGGGACGUUACUGACACUGAGGCGCGAAAGCGUGGGGAGCGAACAGG